UCCACGAUGGCCCGGUCCCUGGUGUGCCUUGGUGUCAUCAUCUUGCUGUCUGCCUUCUCCGGACCUGGUGUCAGGGGUGGUCCUAUGCCCAAGCUGGCUGACCGGAAGCUGUGUGCGGACCAGGAGUGCAGCCACCCUAUCUCCAUGGCUGUGGCCCUUCAGGACUACAUGGCCCCCGACUGCCGAUUCCUGACCAUUCACCGGGGCCAAGUGGUGUAUGUCUUCUCCAAGCUGAAGGGCCGUGGGCGGCUCUUCUGGGGAGGCAGCGUUCAGGGAGAUUACUAUGGAGAUCUGGCUGCUCGCCUGGGCUAUUUCCCCAGUAGCAUUGUCCGAGAGGACCAGACCCUGAAACCUGGCAAAGUCGAUGUGAAGACAGACACUUCCUCUUCAAAUUCCUGGUGAUUGGCAGUGCAGGAACUGGCAAAUCAUGUCUCCUUCAUCAGUUCAUUGAGAAUAAGUUCAAACAGGACUCCAACCACACAAUCGGCGUGGAGUUUGGAUCCCGGGUGGUCAACGUGGGUGGGAAGACUGUGAAGCUACAGAUUUGGGACACGGCUGGCCAGGAGCGGUUUCGGUCAGUGACGCGGAGUUAUUACCGAGGGGCGGCUGGAGCCCUGCUGGUGUACGACAUCACCAGCCGGGAGACAUACAACUCACUGGCUGCCUGGCUGACGGAUGCCCGCACCCUGGCCAGCCCCAACAUCGUGGUCAUCCUCUGUGGCAACAAGAAGGACCUGGACCCUGAGCGGGAGGUCACUUUCCUGGAGGCCUCCCGCUUUGCCCAGGAGAAUGAGCUGAUGUUCCUGGAGACCAGCGCUCUCACAGGCGAGAACGUGGAGGAGGCGUUCCUCAAGUGUGCCCGCACUAUCCUCAACAAGAUUGACUCAGGCGAGCUAGACCCGGAGAGGAUGGGCUCUGGCAUUCAGUACGGGGAUGCGUCCCUCCGCCAGCUUCGGCAGCCUCGGAGUGCCCAGGCCGUGGCCCCUCAGCCGUGUGGCUGCUGAGCUCUGUGGAGCCAGCUCACCUGUUCUCCAGGACCAGCCCUGCUGGGGCCCAGGCCCAGGCUCUGAGAGGCCGUGUCCUAACCUGCCCUGGCCCCGGAGAAGCUACGUUGCCACCUGUCCCCCUUCCCUGGCCUGGUGGGGCCUGGCUUUGGGGCAAGACUGAGCCACGGGGGAAGGGGGAAUCCCGUACCUGCUGCUGCUUCCUCUGUCUUGGCUAACGUCUGUCCCCCUGAACCCCUAACCAUACCCCAAGAGCUCCCAAAGCCUGAGACCAGGGUCAUUUGUCCCCAACUCCCCAUCUGGCCCUGCUGUUGCUAGUACCUGUUAUUUAUUACCUGGAGGCCUGUCCAGCACCCACCCUACCCCCAUAAAGCAUUGUUUACACCUGUG